UGCAACUUAGUUUAGAUAGAACAGUUAAUUUGCAAUUAACAAGCGAUCGACUACACAAAUCAGUGGCAG
rnacentral:tRNA from 2 species